UUUUAUAUAAAACAAUAUUUAUAGAAACACGUGUAAGAAAUCUUUUGUAACGUGUAAGUAAAAUAAAUUCACACAUACAAAAAUUUACAAAGUUAUAAUGUACAAUAAUGGUUACAAUGACAAGUGGCUCAAAAUACACCUAGUGUUGGUGCUAGAAACCUACUGUCUGUGUGGUAGAGAUGUCAACUGGAAUCCUCGACAACAUAGGGUAUCUACAAGCUACCACAGACCUGAAAUGUUUGGAAAGGAGGUGGGUGAGAUUUUGCAAUCCCAAUGAGUAGACAGACAUUAUCAUAAAUAUCUAAAGGUGAGUAACAGGGAGGCAAGUUUAAACAACAAAUCACAAACCAUUUCAUAAUGUUUUCAAUUUAUUUCUUAAACCAUAAAAUAUUUGUAAUUUACCAAAACAAUUGUUAAGGCUUAUGUCUUUUAUAAAAGAAAACAAGGACCAAGCCAAAACUAAUCCUCGGGGAUACCUUGGCCGAGGCAUCUAACCGAGUCCGCCAAGGUUGUUAUAACAUUUACAUAUGAAACACAUUUUUAUUUUUAAAACAAGUCGUUCCUUGGCGUUGGCCGAGUUACACAUUCACGUGGGCGUUCGACGUGAAGUGAGCUCUAAUACUACCCUAGGAGUUACCCUCCUCGCCUCUACAAUCGGAGUAACUAUAUAAUCGGGUUUACCGCGUCCCUCUAAUAGGUAGUCCACGAAAACCCGUCACUACAGUGACUAACCCACCAAUUUUAAUAAAAUUUUGACAGUAUAACGUGGCUUUUAUUUAUUUAUCCAACCUGCAUAGUAAAAACAGCUUACAUAAAUUUCCCAAUGCACUUAUAAAAUAUAGCCACAUAUACUCAUAUAUCAUAAGCCAUUCAUAGGAAAAUAUAUAAUUUUCAAGACAAUUAACAGCCUCCAAUUACUCAAUUUCAUAAUCAACACAAUAUAUCUUUAUUUGUCACAUUUAUUUGUAAAACAUCAAAAAUCCUGUUUUAAUCUCGUUUUUAUUUCAUAAAAUACAUAAAGAGCAUUUAAAAAUAAACUCUAGAUAAUUUACAAUAAUAAUAAGUUUACUCACCGUUUGUACAAACUAAUUGCUUUUUAGGUGCCCCGAUAACUACUCGUCGUGUACGAUUUUCUUGCCUUUACCGAAAAGCUCUCCUCCUAGACACAUUGCAAAAAUUUACUCAAUUCAUCACAUUAAUGCUAAAUCACUACAUAUUUGACUUAAAUCCUAUACUAAUGCAUGGUAUGAAAUGCAAUAGACAAAAAUGGCUUAAACGCGAUAUUAACCUAUUUUUGGCACUUUACCC
rnacentral:lncRNA from 1 species